GGGGGCUGUAGCUCAGUGGCAGAGCAGCUGCUUUCAUACAAGAGGUCCCAGGUUCAAUCCCAGGCAUCUCCA